GCAAAGUCUAUCCUUGAUAUGUUCAUUCUAACCGGUGACAGAUUUUCUCUCCGAUGGUCUUCUAUCCAACAGUCGAUAGAUGUAAUUCUUUUUUUUUGUUCAAUCGGUAUAUCCUUGAUAUGUUCAUCCUAAUCGAUGACGGAUAUCCUCCUUGGCAAUCCCAGGCAAGUCUAUCCUUGAUAUGUUCAUCCUAACCGAUGACGAGUUUUCUUCCCUGUCGAGUUUAUCCUUGAUAUGUUCAUCCUAACCGAUGACGGAUACUCUCACCCUU
rnacentral:lncRNA from 1 species